rnacentral:rRNA from 1 species
CCUACGGGUGGCAGCAGUGAGGAAUAUUGGUCAAUGGGCGAGAGCCUGAACCAGCCAAGUCGCGUGAAGGAUGACGGCCCUACGGGUUGUAAACUUCUUUUGUCAGGGAGCAAUUUAGUCCACGUGUAGUCUUAGCGAGAGUACCUGAAGAAAAAGCAUCGGCUAACUCCGUGCCAGCAGCCGCGUUAAUACGGAGGAUGCGAGCGUUAUCCGGAUUUAUUGGGUUUAAAGGGUGCGUAGGCGGCCUUUUAAGUCAGCGGUGAAAGUGUGUGGCUCAACCAUAAAAUUGCCGUUGAAACUGGGAGGCUUGAGUAUGGUAGAGGCAGGCGGAAUGCGUGGUGUAGCGGUGAAAUGCUUAGAUAUCACGCAGAACCCCGAUUGCGAAGGCAGCCUGCCAAGCCAUGACUGACGCUGAUGCACGAAAGCGUGGGGAUCAAACAGGAUUAGAUACCCGAGUAGUC